AGUGAACGCUGGCGGUAGGCCUAACACAUGCAAGUCGAACGGCAGCACAGUAAGAGCUUGCUCUUACGGGUGGCGAGUGGCGGACGGGUGAGGAAUACAUCGGAAUCUACUUUUUCGUGGGGGAUAACGUAGGGAAACUUAUGCUAAUACCGCAUACGACCUACGGGUGAAAGCAGGGGAUCUUCGGACCUUGCGCGAUUGAAUGAGCCGAUGUCGGAUUAGCUAGUUGGCGGGGUAAAGGCCCACCAAGGCGACGAUCCGUAGCUGGUCUGAGAGGAUGAUCAGCCACGCUGGAACUGAGACACGGUCCAGACUCCUACGGGAGGCAGCAGUGGGGAAUAUUGGACAAUGGGCGCAAGCCUGAUCCAGCCAUACCGCGUGGGUGAAGAAGGCCUUCGGGUUGUAAAGCCCUUUUGUUGGGAAAGAAAAGCAGCAGGUUAAUACCCCGCUGUUCUGACGGUACCCAAAGAAUAAGCACCGGCUAACUUCGUG
rnacentral:rRNA from 1 species